rnacentral:lncRNA from 1 species
UGGGUUCAGGCAUGGCCACUGUACUGGCCAUUGGAGGUUACCCCGGAGUUAGUGUUCCAGCUGGGUAUGAUGGAGAUGGAAUGCCCUUUGGCAUAUGUUUUGGAGGACUGAAGGGGAUGGAGCCAAAGCUUAUUGAAGUUGCUUACGGAUUUGAACAAGCCACAAAGAUUCGGAGACCUCCUACUUCCCCUAAUAACUUAUUGUGUCCUAAUGAGCCAUUGUAAGAGUUGGAUUUUGUUUUCCGCAAUAACAGUGGUUAUAUAUGUAUAAAUAAAUAAUUAAAAUUUUUGAAUAACUAUUUUUUAUCAUAACUAACAAAUAGUUAUGUUUCUAAAUUUGUUUAUUAACUUUUCAAGCAAUUCUCUUAGUUUUUCUAAGUUAUCCAAAGGUCAUCCGAAAAAUUUUAGUGAGGGUCUAUAAGUUCAUCUAUCUUUAAUAAGUCUAUAUCCUUGGACUCUUUAGUGGUAGUCACUUUUGCUCUAGAUCACUCAUGGUAGAGACCUUAAAUUUUUCUCAUCACUUUAGAGUUAGGGAUGAGUUUACCAAGAUUAAAGGUAGGAUUCAUAAAAUCCAUCAAUUUUGUAUGGAACUCUCUAAAACUCUUAUGAUCCUCCAUCCUAAUAGUCUCAAACAUAAAGCUUAACAUUUGAAGUUUGGAUACUUUAACGACAUUGGCUCUUUCAUGAGUCACUUGGAAGAUAUCCCAAACCUCCUUAGCCUACAUGUAACAAUACCAAAAAAUUCAUAUGUGCUAAUAACAUUAAAAAUGGAAUAUAUGGCUCUAACAUUAUUUUCACUAGUUUCAUUUUCACCUAUAUCUCGUUCCAAUUUAGGUUUGACAAUAUUUGUUAGUCUACCUUCUCUAUCAAAUACCUUAGGUGGAGACCAACCAAAUUCAAUAGCAUUCCAAACUUUUUGUUUGCAUUUUGAGAAAAAAUAUUGCAUGUGUACUUUCCAAUGAGAAUAAUUUCACUGGUUAAGAAUUGUGAUCUCCUAAUGAAAGCUCCUUCUUAAUAAGAUUUCAUGAUUAAGAUUCAAGAAUUGAAAAAUGAUUUUUAUAGUAAAAAUCCGUCCAUAUACCAAUUGAGGAUGAAUUGAAUGCAAUUCACAUGCAAAUGAAUUAACAUUCCCCAACCUAAAUUCGUAAGAAUAAUUAGCUCCUCAACACAUUUCUAAUUACUACUUAAUAUCAUAAUCAAAUUAAAUAAAAAAUUAUUUAAUAUUUUCAAAAAUCAAACUCAUUUAAACUCAUUUUUCACCUAUCCAACAUAUGCUCAAGUAUGAAAUUGAGAUCAAUAAACAAGAGAGAAGAAUAAGAGAGUGACGAUAACACCAAAUUUUAAUGUGAAAAAUCUCCUAAGAAAUAAAAAGUUAUGGGUCUACCAAUGAUCAUAAGUUUACACUAUGAAAAAUAACAAACUGAGCACAAUGCUUUACCUAACUCAAGUUUAUAUAUCAUUCUCGAACUACUUGAUCAGUAGCUUCCAACUUCAACUUCACACCUUCUUUUGGAACACAUUUACAAUCUAGACCAAACUUAAUCUACAUAAGAAGAAAAUGAGUUUUCAUUCAAACCUAAAUCAACAAGAACACGAUAGAUACAUGAAAUAAAUGAAUAAGCCCGUUUUUAAGAAAAUCCAAUUGAAAAACAAUAUGAAAAUCAAGAUAAAAGAAAAUUUUCUCAAGAAAACAAACACUUCCAAUUUGGAAUAAGAAAGAGAGCUCAAAUGGAGUGAAAAACGGUUGUUUUUUUUUUUCCUAAACUAGAAACAUUUGAGUUAAAUAUGAAGAGGAAACCUUGAUCGAAUGACUAAAAAAAGAUCCAACAAAAGAUAGACUAAUCUUUCUUAAAUAUUGAUCAAUCCUGGAAUAGGGUACAAAAACACUUAAUAAAAAAAUUGUUGGCUCAACUUCCUUAACCCUUUUAAAAAUCAAUAGUUCAAAAAAAAAAAAAAACAGAAAAGCAAUUGAUUCACAUUCAUCUACACUAUCAGUUAGAUACUUUGGUCUCUAAGUAUUUUUAGCAUCUUGAUCUUUACCAGGUAGACCGAUGAUUUUUCACCGUUUUCACCUAUUUUUCAUUUGAUUAAUAAUUAGUGGCCUAUAUCGUUUCACGAUGAAAUUUCAUCGAAAUUUCGUGAUAUUUUUUGAUAUUUCAAACCAUGCCCUUAUCUAAUACAUUUAUUUAUUUAUUCCAAUUUUAAAUUUUAAAUUUUUAAAAUUGUCGGUUGAUAAAUUUGUUAAAAUUCCAUCCAAAUCGUUGACAAUCUACGAACACAGCAUCCAAGUCACAGCUCCGUGCAUUCACGUGUUCUUCAUUUCUCUCUAGCUGUUCUUUUGCGCUAUUCACAAGCAUCUAGAUUUUUUUUUUUUUUUUUUUUUGCGUUGACUUCUAAUCUGGGUUCCAGUUGUGGUGGAGUGUGGGACUGGAAAAAGGGUAUUUUGAGUUUUGGAGAAGUCUCCUGUUGUUGAUCUUGAUUCGUUUGUUGGUGUUUUUUUUUUUUUUGCCUGAAGCUUUUCUGUGUUUUACUUUAAUGGUCUGUAAAUGGGUUCUCUGGAAAGCGGGGUUCCGGUGAAGAGAGACCCUCUUCUUCGCUCUUGAUCGAACUAAGGCUAGCUUUUUCAGAGACCCAUUUUGAGAUUUUCAAGGUUUCUGUUCUUCAGGAAGCUGCUAGAUUUACUCCAAUGGGUGUGCACAGUGGCGAUGUUCUGCUUCUUUGUGGUUCUAGUCCAUGUGGUUUUGCCGGGUUUGAUAAUGGAAAAAUCAGGGAUUCAUUGAAAAAUAUGGAGAAUAGUUAUGGGGAUUUGAGUAGUAUCAAAAAAUUGGUGGGUUUGAUUUUGGGGAAGGUAUUAGAUUUGAGCCGUCAAAGCUUCUUUAGAAGUUUCAGAAAGAGGCUAAUGAGAUGAAUCUCUCUUCCGCUUCAAGGUUUGCUCUGGUCAGUAUUUUUACAUUUCUUUUGCUGGUUUUUUUUUCUUUCUAAUUCGCUGAUUGCAUGUUGUUUGCAUCUUACAAUCCUUGAAUAAUCUGAAUUGAAAAAGUCUUCACGCUUCUUCAAUCAAUUAAAAUCUCCCAUUUAUUGAACGCGACUUGAUAAAUCAAAUAUUGUUUCUCCUAUAGGUUGAUUCUUUCUAGUCUGAAAAAUUUUCACUUCUCAUGGACACAAUGGUAAUGGCAAUGGCGUUUAAGAUGCUUUCUCUUUUGCUCCUCUGCGGAUUCUUCUUUUCCAACUCCUUUGUCAUCGAAGAAGCCAACAUCCAGGACAUCCAAUGGGCAUUCUCUCAAAACAAGCUCACCUCCAGACAGCUCGUUGACUUCUACCUGCACCAGAUCGAGGCCCUGAAUCCGGAGCUUCGCAGCGUGAUAGAGGUGAACCCAGAUGCACGAGAGCAAGCGGACAAGGCCGAUGCAGAAAUUAAAAGCAAGAAGGAGUUGGGGGAGUUGCAUGGCAUACCAGUGUUGCUGAAGGACAGUAUAAAUACUAAAGAUAAAUUGAAUACAACUGCUGGGUCAUAUGCAUUGUUGGGGGCGGAGGUGAGUGGAGAUGCGGCGGUGGUGGAGAGGCUGAGGAAGGCGGGGGCGGUGAUACUGGGAAAGGCUAGUAUGAGUGAGUGGUAUCAGUUUCGUUCUUUGAAAACUCGAAACGGCUGGUGUCCAAGGAGUGGACAGGGUGUGGUGAGCUUAAUUGCUUUCCUUCUUCCUAUAUUUGGUUUCGUAAUUUUGAAGAUUAAGUCUAAAUUUUGUGACUUGUGAGACAUGCAGAAUCCAUAUGUAGCAUCGGGAGAGCCAUGCGGGUCAAGCAGCGGAUCUGCAGUAUCUGUAGCGGCCAACAUGGUGGCUGUCUCGCUUGGGACGGAGACUGAUGGUUCCAUCAUCUGCCCAGCUGAUGUGAACUCCGUUGUUGGGUUUAAACCCACUGUUGGACUCACCAGUCGGACAGGUGUCAUCCCAAUUUCACCCCGACAAGACAGUGUCGGGUACUAUAAGUUACAUAGCUUUGAAAUUGAUUAUUGAAUCUCUAACAUAAGCAUUAUGCUAUUAGUAAACUCCAUGUUUAUACAGGCGUAUAAAUUAUGAAAGUAGAGCUUGUUCUAUAUAUAUCAUUGAUCAGAGGUUUCUCUACCACAGACCUAUAUGCAGGAGUGUGUUGGACGCAGUUUAUGUGCUUGAUGCUAUAGUGGGUUUUGAUCCUAGAGACGGUGAGGCAACAAAAGAAGCAUCCAAGUUCAUACCUGUUGGUGGCUACAAACAAUUUCUCAACAAAGAUGGGAUUGCAGGAAAGAGAUUGGGUGUUGUGAGGAAUCCAUUUUCUGGAUUUUACAACCGAUCCACAGCUAUUUCAGCCUUUGAGGCUCAUCUCACCGUAUUAAGGUAGAAGAUAUAUAUGCUUUGUUAUAUAUAUAAACAUAGUCUAAACUCAUGUAAUAAACAUACCAUUGAUUUAGUGUCCUGUCAUGUGAAUUUCUUUGAGGAAUGCUGCAGGCAAAGAGGUGCAAUUUUAGUGGACAAUUUGGAAAUAGAAAAUGUUGAUAUCAUAUUGAACCCCUAUGAAAGUGGUGAAUCAACGGCCUUGUUGGCUGAGUUCAAGCUCAACAUAAAUGAAUACCUGAAAGAGCUCACCCAUUCUCCAGUGAGGUCCCUAGCAGGCAUAAUUGCCUUCAACUUGAACAACUCUGAUCUGGUAAAUACAUCCCCAAGUGGGGAAUGAGUUAUGAGAACUUAGGUAUUUGCUAAUUGGUUAUGUAUAUAUAUGAACUACGCCUUGUGCCAUUGCAGGAAAAGACUGAUGAAAAUGGCCAGGAAGUCUUUAUCGCAGCAGAGAUGACAAAUGGGAUUGGGAAGCAAGAGAGGAUGGCAAUGGAGAUGAUGGCAAAUCUGUCUCGUGAUGGGUUUGAGAAGCUGAUGAUGGAGAAUGAGCUCGAUGCAACGGUGACACUGGGUUCAGGCAUGGCCACUGUACUGGCCAUUGGAGGUUACCCCGGAGUUAGUGUUCCAGCUGGGUAUGAUGGAGAUGGAAUGCCCUUUGGCAUAUGUUUUGGAGGACUGAAGGGGAUGGAGCCAAAGCUUAUUGAAGUUGCUUACGGAUUUGAACAAGCCACAAAGAUUCGGAGACCUCCCGCUUCCCCUAAGAACUUAUUGUGUCCUUAUGAGCCAUUGUAAGAGUUGGAAUUUGUUUUCUGCAAUAACAGUGUUUAAAUACGUAUAAAUAAAUAAUUAAAAAUUUUUGAAUAAUUAUUUUAUAUCAUAACUAAGAAAUAGUUACGACUAAAUUUGUUUAAUACCUUUUAAAGUAAUUCCCUUAGUUUUCCUAAGUGAUGCAAAUGUCAUUUCAAAAAUUUGGAGAGGGUUUACAAGUUCAUUUAUCUUCAAUAAAUUCACAUCUUUG